GGCCUCGUAGCUCAGUGGAUAGAGCAUCGGUUUCCUAAACCGUGCGCGCAGGUUCGACCCCUGCCGGGGCCACCA
rnacentral:tRNA from 1 species